GUUUUAAUAAUUUAAUGAAAAUAGUAACUUUGUAAGUUAAAAUUAGAUAAUAUCUUUAAAGCA
rnacentral:tRNA from 1 species